UACGUAGGGGGCAAGCGUUAUCCGGAUUUACUGGGUGUAAAGGGGGCGCAGACGGCGAUGCAAGCCAGGAGUGAAAGCCCGGGGCCCAACCCCGGGACUGCUCUUGGAACUGCGUGGCUGGAGUGCAGGAGGGGCAGGCGGAAUUCCUGGUGUCGCGGUGAAAUGCGUAGAUAUCAGGAGGAACACCGGUGGCGAAGGCGGCCUGCUGGACUGCAACUGACGUUGAGGCCCGAAAGCGUGGGGAGCAAACAGG
rnacentral:rRNA from 1 species